rnacentral:rRNA from 1 species
AACGAACGCUGGCGGCAGGCUUAACACAUGCAAGUCGAACGCCCCGCAAGGGGAGUGGCAGACGGGUGAGUAACGCGUGGGAACAUACCCUUUCCUGCGGAAUAGACCUGGGACACUGGAAUUAAUACCGCAUACGCCCUACGGGGGAAAGAUUUAUCGUGGAAGGAUUGGCCCGCGUUGGAUGAGCUAGUUGGUGGGGUAAAGGCUUACCAAGGCGACGAUCCAUAGCUGGUCUGAGAGGAUGAUCAGCCACAUUGGGACUGAGACACGGCCCAAACUCCUACGGGAGGCAGCAGUGGGGAAUAUUGGACAAUGGGCGCAAGCCUGUUCCAGCCAUGCCGCGUGAGUGAUGAAGGCCUUAGGGUUGUAAAGCUCUUUCACCGAUGAAGAUAAUGACGGUAGUCGGAGAAGAAGCCCCGGCUAACUUCGUGCCAGCCGCCGCGGUAACAC